GGGGAAGAGAAUGAACGUACCACAACAUUGAAUACUGAAUGAAUAGUUAUGACUGCAGACACUAUGGGGAAGAGAAUGAACGUACUACAACAUUGAAUACUGAAUGAAUAGUUAUGACUGCAGACGAGAUGGGGAAGAGAAUGAACGUACUACAACAUUGAAUACUGAAUGAAUAGUUAUGACUGCAGACGAGAUGGGGAAGAGAAUGAACGUACUACAACAUUAAAUACUGAAGGAAUAACGUAAAACUGUGAAUAUUUUAAACUAAUUUUUUCCUAUCUUUUCCAAGCGCCAGGUGGGAACAGGUAGACUCGGUACCAUCCAUUAACUAUCCUUGCAUUGACCUUAUCUCUUAAUACCCACGUUAGACAUCCGAGUACAUUAAAACUUGGUACGUAACACUGAAGCCAUAGCCUGUGCCAAUGUGGUCCGCUUUUCAUUGUAACCUAAAAAUCCCCUAUCACAUUAUUGCAUUACGGUAAAACACAAAUUAGAUACCACGGUCAAUGCCUACGUUAGACAUCCGGGUACAUUUAAAACUUGGUACGUAACACUGAAGCCAUAGCCUGUCCCAAUGUGGUCCGCUUUUCAUUGUUACCUAAAAAUCCCCUAUCACAUUAUUGCAUUACGGUAAAACACAAAUUAGAUACCACGGUCAAUGCCUACGUUAGACAUCCGGGUACAUUUAAAACUUGGUACGUAACACUGAAGCAAUAGCCUGUCCCAGUGUGGUCCGCUUUUCAUUGUAACCUAAAAAUCCCCUACCACAUUAUUGCUUUGAGGUGAAACUCAAAUUUGAUACCACGAAGACGAUCCCAAAGCACUCACUAUUAUGCAAACUUCACUCCGGCGCCGUCAGGAGAAAGCACCCCCACUCUCUGCUUUCCCUGACACACACGACACAUUUCCCGCUCAGCCAUCACAUCCCCGGAUAAUUACUCGUUCUCUCCCGCUUAUAGCUUUCCAUAUCACGUGUAGAGGGAAAGAGAGAGGGUUGGGGAGUGAGGGUGGGUGUAUGUUCUCCCACGCGGAUCUGGUUUUGUUGCCAGCGAAAGCAGAGAAAGUAUGAAAAAAGUCCAGCUUUCUCCACCGUGCAACUAAACUUUGAUUCGUCGCUUGAUAGUUGUGCCGGCGGUGGCGAUGACAUGAGCCCGCGACGGAGAGACGUGAGAUGAAGAAUGGGACGUGAGGGAGGGAGAGAGGGACGUGAGGCAGGGAGAGAUACGAGAGAGAGAAACGGAAGAUGAAGUGACGUUAAGGAAGGAAGGAAAUGUGAAGGACUUAAAGGAGGAAGGGAAGUCAGAGAUGGGGAGAUGAAAUGAAGAAACGAGAGGAAGGAAGAUAAAUGGAAUGAAAAAAAAUGCAAGAAACGAACAGACGAGGGAAGUAAAGAUGAAAAAAGAGAGAUAUAAACAAAAAUAACGAAAGAGAGAAAUUAGCACAAGAAAGAAAGAAAGAAGUAAGGAAGCGACAUGGAGAAGGGAGAAACGUGAGGAAGGAAGAGAAAUGGACUAGGAGAGAUUGGAAGAAGGAUUAGACAUGAGUGAUGAGAGAGAGGACGGACCUUUAGGAGGGGAAACUAUUACCUAAAAAUAUUUCUUAUGUAUACACGAACUAAAUCACGCGUUCAGUAUCUAACCCUUAUCAACACACCAAGAAGAGACAAAACAAACAUAACAGGAGAGUGAAAACAUGAGAAACUGCAUGAGGAAGAGUAAGAGGAAAAAGAAGAAGAGGAGGAAGAGGAGGACGAAAGGGAGGAAAAACACACACCAAAACAAGACAAAAACAAACGAACUGGGAGCUUGAAAAGACGAAUAACUGGAGAGAAGAGGAAGAGCAGAAGGAGGAGAAGCCGGAGGAACAAACAAACGAGGUCACGAGAGACAGGCUAACCAAGUAAUGAGAAAUCUAGGACGUUAUGAGCCCCGGAGGAACAGCACCGGACGGAGAGACGGGGCUUUAAGGGGAACUCCGUAUGAAUAUGGGGCGAGGGGGCGGGGCAAGGCGGCGGGGGGAGGGGAAGGGGGCUAUGUGCUGGGGGCUGGCGGGCGGUCGGCAACCCCAGAACGAGAGAGCCACGGGGAACGGCGCUUAAAGUUUCCCCAUCAACCUUGACCGUUCUGGAAAGGAGGGAGAGAGAGAGAGAGAAAACCGGCGGGGGUGGAGGUGGAGAGAGAGAGAGAGGGGGGGAAUGUGUGUGUGUGUGUGUGUGUGUGUGUGUGUGUGUGUGUGUGUGUGUGUGUCGUCAGCUGGUACUUUCGUGUCUGUGAUGGCGGUAAUAAGUGGAGUCUUCACUUCUAUAAUGAGCCACUUCGCUGUUUCUUAUUUUAGUCUUUCAUUUUCUUGAACUGAGAGACUUUUCCGUAAUCAUUCUGUUGAGAUUUCCCUUUUGUAACCUUAACAACGAUCGUAGUUUCUUGACCCUAACGUAACAAAAAAUAACACUCGGGCAAUUAUAUUUUUUUCCUGUUUGUCUUGUUUUAAUUUCGUCUGUUUUAAUAAUGACUUCUUCACCGCCUUCGUCAUCAGUGCUAUGUCUCUUGUGGCUUAUGAAGAACGAUUACGUGUAUUUAUAUAUAGGCUCUCGCUGCAAUGCAUAACCCAAGGCAUAAGUUUGCAUUUCUAACGUCAAUUUUGUGUUGGUAAUACUUGCCGAUGACAACCUAUGUAUAUACUUAGUCGACGGUUUGUGGUUCGCCUCAGCGGUCAUCGCGGUUUCCUUCUCGCCGUGUGUAAGCAAGUCAUCGCUUCGUCUCGCCUCGUCUACAAGUUUACAGAGGAGAAAAUGGCUAAGGAUGAUGGAAUGUAGCUUCUCACUCGCUGUAACACAUGGACUGACUUCAAACUAGGGGUGAUAGAUGGAGUGACUCAAAAUUAAAGAUGAGUGAGUGUAAAUUCUUCUAAACUCGCUGUAUAAGAGAUGAAUUUAAGGCUGAGUGUGAAUCGUUGUAAAUUUUUCUGAACUCGUUGUAUAAGAGAUGAAUUUAAGGCUGAGUGUGAAUCGUUCUCACUCGCUGUAGGUAUGUUGAGUGUCACCAGAUUGCCCUUUUAACUUGCGACGUAUUUGGAGCGUUCAUCAGUUCAGGAGAGCACUUGCAUAUAUAAAUCAGGUCGGAAAAUCGUGCUAGAAUGACCAAGACUUUUAAAUUGCAUCCACUUUCUUAAGACACCACCAGGGACAAAAAAAAAAAAGAA